UACGUAGGGUGCAAGCGUUGUCCGGAAUUAUUGGGCGUAAAGAGCUCGUAGGCGGUUUGUCGCGUCUGCUGUGAAAACUCGGGGCUUAACCCCGGGCCUGCAGUGGGUACGGGCAGACUAGAGUGCGGUAGGGGGAGACUGGAAUUCCUGGUGUAGCGGUGAAAUGCGCAGAUAUCAGGAGGAACACCGGUGGCGAAGGCGGUUCUCUGGGCAUUACCUGACGCUGAGGAGCGAAAGUGUGGGGAGCGAACAGG
rnacentral:rRNA from 1 species